UACGUAGGUGACUAGCGUUGUUCGGAUUUAUUGGGCGUAAAGGGUCCGCAGGGGGCUGAUUAAGUCUGAUGUGAAAUACCAAGGCUCAACCUUGGAACUGCAUUGGAAACUGAUUGGCUAGAGCAUCGGAGAGGAGAUUGGAAUUCCUGGUGUAGCGGUGGAAUGCGUAGAUAUCAGGAGGAACACCAAAGGCGAAGGCAGAUCUCUGGACGAUUGCUGACCCUCAGGGACGAAAGCAUGGGGAU
rnacentral:rRNA from 1 species